rnacentral:rRNA from 1 species
CCUACGGGGGGCAGCAGUGGGGAAUAUUGGACAAUGGGGGGAAGUCUGAACCAGCCAUGCCGCGUGCAGGAAGACGGCUCUAUGAGUUGUAAACUGCUUUUGUCGGGGAGCAAAAGACGCCACGCGUGGCGUUCCGAGAGUACCCGAAGAAAAAGCAUCGGCUAACUCCGUGCCAGCAGCCGCGGUAAUACGGAGGAUGCGAGCGUUAUCCGGAUUUAUUGGGUUUAAAGGGUGCGCAGGCGGUCGGAUAAGUUAGAGGUGAAAUCCCGAGGCUCAACUUCGGAAUUGCCUCUGAUACUGUUCGGCUAGAGAGUAGUUGCGGUAGGCGGAAUGUAUGGUGUAGCGGUGAAAUGCUUAGAGAUCAUACAGAACACCGAUUGCGAAGGCAGCUUACCAAGCUACUUCUGACGUUGAGGCACGAAAGCGUGGGGAGCAAACAGGAUUAGAUACCCGAGUAGUC